rnacentral:lncRNA from 12 species
AUGUUCCUUGAUUUUGAAAUUGUAAUCUUCUUUUCCUUUUGUAUAUGUGACAGGUUGUCAGUAAUUAACUGUGAUGUUAAUGCAUGUUUUAUAUUACAGGCAGCAAAACUGGAAAAAAUGAAGAUUCCACCACAUGAAAUGUUUAAAUUGGAACUUGACAAAUAUUCCAUGUUUGAUGAAAAUGGAUUUCCCACCCAUGAUACAGAAGGCAAAGAACUUAGCAAAGGACAAAUUAAGAAGCUAAAGAAACUUUAUGAAACCCAAGAAAAGCUACACAAGGAGUAUCUACAAAUGGUUCAGAAUGGAAGUGCAAAUUGAAAACAACAGGACUUUUUAUUUAGAAGGCGAGUGCUGGGUUCCCAUUGAAGAAGUGAGCAUAUACUGAUGCUCAAAUUUCUGUUUACACUUUCUAUUAUGUGCAAAGUAAAAUUCCUGUUUACGUGGGUUAGUAAUGUCAUCUGGAAAUAUAAUAAAAAUCCAUCGUUUAAAGAAAGCGCCAACCUGUAAGAAGUUUCUUCUCAGCAGUAGCAUUAGUGGUUGCCAGUUCUGUUUGUGAAGGUGCUGCUCAGUCAGCAAAUCCACAUAAGGAUUCUUGUUCAUUGUAGCUAUCCAGGCUUUGGUUAAUUUGUUCUGCACCCUGAUCUCUAUCUAAGACCCAAUGUUACAGUCAGAAAAAUUUAUUGCUAAAUGGGAGCUGAGUAAUUUGCCCCACAGUAAGAACAGUAUUUUCCAGAUGACUUUAGUAUCUUUACAUAAGCAGGAAAUGUGGGUAGUUCCACUAUGAUACUUAUUUUAGCUGCUGUUAUUAAAAACUCUCAUAAGUAUACCCAGAACACUUUGCAUAGUAGAAGUUCACAGUCCCUUUGUUGAAAAAGGGAACAGAUCAUCAGCCUGCAGUUGCAGUCAAGUGGGUAAGUACAAGGCAAGUGCAUCUGCAUUGAACAAACAGGUGGGAAAGACAUGAAGGUCUGAUGGCAGAGGUGGUGUGCUCUUGGAGCUAUCCCUUCAAGGAAAAAGGAGCCCUGCCAAAGUACCCGAUUACCCAAAGUAUUCAGUACCUAAUUACCAGUUCAGAGCCAUGGGGAAUUAACAGAGGGUUUCCUACUGAUACACAGUUCAUGGAUUGGUUUGCGGUUAGGAAAUACAGCUAGACUUUGCCCUGUAUUCAAGACUGAUGGUUUAAACAUGAUGAUUAAACCCUGAGGUAAAAACCUUUCUGAUGUAGUAUGGUCACAUUGUGUCUGCAAGGGGAGUUCUUUGUUGCCUAACAGUAUAUUUCACUGGCAGAAGCUACUAAAUGAACUAAAGUUCAUGAAAUCCUAAAAAAUAUCUCACCUAAGUUCUUUGUUGCCUAACAGUAUAUCUCACUGGCAGAAGCUACUAAAUGAACUGAAGUUCAUGAAAUCCUAAAAAAUAUCUCACCUAUUUCGCAGCUGCACAGAUCAGCCAAGUGUCUGAUUUGCAGAACUAUAUUCAUUCAGUAUUCUUAAGGUGACUUGCAGAAAGUCAUACUGUAAUACCUCUGUUUUCUCAACUCUAAGGUUCAUGCUACAAUCAUUAGGCUAUGUUCCUUUCCUUAGUUAAGAGUUAAAAUAUCUUUGCUUUUCCUUCAUAUUUUUAUAUUUAUAUUCCUCCUUCUGAGGAAUGAGCACAUUAUUUGGAGUAACAGAAAGGUCUAGUAGGUUUUUUUUUCUAAUUUGUCUGUAUUUGCCUUUGAAAACAUACAUAGUGUUAAGGUCAGUAAAGCAGAUACAUCUUGUGUGCAGAAAAUAAAAUAUGUUGUGAAGUACUUGUAUGUGAACUUUGUGUAGUGGGGAAAAUAUUGAGCUUAUCUUU